AUGGGCUAAAACAAUUAAAUUAAACCCGUGUUUAACCUAAGCCCAAGGUAUAUAACCCCCAAACUUAGUGAAUUCAGCAUCUUCCCCCUUCAAUAGAGAGAGACACGGUAGAGACACGGUAGAGGAAGAGAAAAGAGAUGUGAGAGCUCAAAACCCUUGGCACUAUUAUCAUCAUUUUCAUUUGUUCAUAACUUUUGAUCCAGAACUUCGAUUGACAAGUCGUUUGCAGCCAUUUGUCUCAAAUCCCUCUUUAAUUCUAUCUAGGUAUUAUGAAGCAGGACAUGAUGCACCUCUCUGAGUGCGCUGGAAUCUUGAUGAAGCUAAAACUUUACUUCCGGAUUUAUUUAUAUUUAUGUAGUACUUUUCUCCACUUUUGAUAUAUGUAUAUGUAUAUCCCUCUUAGAGGUUAAUCUUUGGAGAAACAGGAUUAUGUUUUGUUUAACUUCUGGUUCUAUAAUAUACUUUCUAGCCAGUCUUGUCUUCGCAGGUCGAGACUAGUAUUGUUAUGUAUCUCCUUUUGAAUCAUAUAUAUAUAUAUAUACUUGUCUUCGCAGGUC